rnacentral:lncRNA from 1 species
UUCCUCUGGGGCAAACCAGGCCGGACACCAGACCAGCCUCUUCCUCCAGACAGCGGCCGCUGGCAGGGACGGCGAGAAAGGGCAAGGGUCCCCUGGGGAGGUGUCCACUGAGGCACCCCCCACCCUUCUCCCCGAGACUGCCCCCGGAUCCAUCCAACCCGAAACCAACUCCCGCAUCCCUACUCGAGGAAGCCCCGGAGUCCCGCCGCUUGGUGAGGGCCUGAGAAGGUGGAAGGGGAUGCCGGGGUGCAGACCGAGAGAAAGGAAGGGAGAGCACCCCUCCCCUUGGUGGAAAACGGAAGCAGUAAGUGAAGAUGGCAACACUGCCCACGACCACAGCCGCACGGAAAAAUAACUGCUGGAGCACAGCGCCCAGGACGAGGUAUGGGAAAUGAGCACGUGGCUCUGAGAGCCUGCCUGGUAUUCCUGCUCAUCUCCAGACCUUCAGCAGAGACCAGCCAGGCACACAGACGAGCCUAUGGCGACGGCAGCUGUCCCUGCCAUCCCAACAUCAGUGGUUUAUCAUCUAGCUCCUUUUCAGUAGUCAGGUAAGAAUAAACAUCUGGCAAUCGGUACCCAGUCUGGAGAACUGCUUCCUUAUCCUAAGGAGACCCCUUUCAUCCAUCCCUAUGCUUCAGUUACCACCUAAAAGGAAUAUUACCUUUUCCUUAUCGCUGGCUUCCCGGGACACUAGAGAGCCCUGUGAAGAGACCAAACUCUAAGUGAGAUGCAAUGGCUAGAGGAACAGCCAACAGUUACUGAAGGAACUCUCUUUCAGGUUACCCAGUGCCCUGUCAAGGUUACCCCCAUUCUCAGGCCAUGAGCAGUCUUUCCUUUAGCCCAGGUUAUCCCGUUCUUACCUUGAGGUCAUACUUCCUAUGCACAGGAAGACGAUGACUAAACAUAUUGCGCAUCACGAGCAUGUAGCUGUCUUCAUUUUCUACACUGACUCGGUACAUGCCCAGGAACUGGGGCAGAAGCGUGUUGCCAUGACAUUUCACUAUGUACUAGGGAAGCAAACGAAAGGGACAAUUGGCAUAGGGACAGGAAUCCAGGUGCUUCCACCCCAGAGUCAGGCAAAAAUCUCAAACAGAGGUUGCAAAGUCAAGAGGUCACACAGUUCAGAAACCUCGAGAAUUCUGCCUGCAACUAUUUCUAUAAAAAUACCUUUUCCCAUUUCACCUUUUCAUUUCUUUGUUUGCUGUCUGAAACUGAGUCUCACAUAGCUGGGGUUGGUCUUGAACUCCUGAUCUUCCUGUUUCUACUUUCGAAGUGUUACAAUUACAGGAAUGAGCCACUUUAUCUGGCUACCUUUAUAAUUUUUUUCAAGGAAGGUAGGUAUUAUUAUUCUUAUUCCAGACUCUACACAAGUAAAUCACAAAAGCAGGGUUAAACUUAGAUUUACUUCUUGGUGGGUUAGGUUUUUGUACUAUAAAUGUCUACAAGGAGAUCUAUAAUCAAUUUGGAUUGUUUUUUUCUUCAAAAGGUUUAUUUGUUUAUGUAUAUGAGCACUCUAUUUGCAUGUGUGCCUGCGUGACAGAAGAGGGCAUAAGAUCCCACUAUAGUUGGGAGCCACCAUGUGGGUGCUGGGAAUUGAACUCAGGACCUCUGGAGGAGCAGCCAGUGCUCUUAACAGCUGAGCCAUCUCUCCAGCCUUUGUUUUGCUCUUUUUUUUUUUUUUAAAGAUAGGUUUCCCAGUGUAGCCCUGUCUAUCCUGGAACUCACUCUGUAGACCAGGUUGGCUUUGAAUUUACAAGAUGCCCUGCCUCUACCUCCCAGGUGCUGGGACUAAAGGCAUGUACCACCACUACCAAGCUAUUUAAAUUUCUCGGUGGUUUUGUUUUGUCUUGAUUUUGGUUUGGUUUUUUGGGACAGGGUUUUUCUGUGUAGCCCUGUCCUGGAACUCACAGAUCCCGUCUUAAACUCAGAGAUGCUAGGAUUAAAGGUAUGUGCCACCACACCCAGCCAACACUUCUAUUUAAAAAUCUUUAUUUAUGUGUCUGUGUGAAUGCCCCAGGAGAGGAUCCCUUGGAACUAAAGUUCUAGGCCGUUGCAAGCUACCUGAGUCAGUCACCUAGAGACAGUGCUCUGGAGGAACAGUGCUCCUCACCACGGAGCCAACUCUUCAGCCCAUGUCUGUUUUGUUUUCCGAGUCGGAGUCAGAUGUUGCCAGACUGUCCUCUAAUAAAGCUGACUUUAGACACUUGGAGUGGAGAGAUAGCUCUUCCAGAGGACCCCGGUUCAGUUCCUAGCACCCAUGUGGUGGCUCACAACCACAUGUAACUCCAGUUGCAGGAAAUCAAAAGGUCUUUUCUGACCUCUUCAGACACCAAGCAUGCAUAUAAUACACAUUUGCCUAUCAUACAGGCAGGUAAAAUACCCAUACACAUAAAAUAUAAUAAAACAUUAAUAAUUGUUAAUUACUAAAAAUAAAGCAAAUAAACACUUGGUCUUCCCCACUCCGCACAUCACAGACACAGGAAACAGAAACAGGAUGAAGUGUAUCGGCCAUGUCCAGAGCUGCACCCAUCUCCCUCCAGAGAGCUCUCGCAUGUUGUUUCCCAGUCGUUGACAAGUGGCACCAA